GGGGCCGUAGCUCAGCUGGGAGAGCGCAGCGUUCGCAACGCUGAGGUCGGGAGUUCGAUCCUCCUCGGCUCCACCA
rnacentral:tRNA from 1 species